UACGUAGGGUGCAAGCGUUAAUCGGAAUUACUGGGCGUAAAGCGUGCGCAGGCGGUUUUGUAAGUCUGUCGUGAAAGCCCCGGGCUCAACCUGGGAAUUGCGAUGGAGACUGCAAGGCUGGAGUCUGGCAGAGGGGGGUAGAAUUCCACGUGUAGCAGUGAAAUGCGUAGAGAUGUGGAGGAACACCGAUGGCGAAGGCAGCCCCCUGGGUCAAGAUUAACGCUCAUGCACGAAAGCGUGGGGAGCAAACAGG
rnacentral:rRNA from 1 species